GAUGGGAGCAAUAACUUAUCUUAGACGGCAGGCAAGAGACUGUUAUCCCCUGAAAGAGUUAAGGCUCUCAUGGUUCUUCCUCGACCACAAACAAAGAAUGCUAUGUUAUCUUUUCUGGUUACAGGUCAGCAUGAACCAGAACAAAUCCACUGGACACAGGCUCUUGAUAACGCCUACAACACCCUCAAGCAGGCUCUCUGUUCCGCUCCAGCCCUAGGUUUACCCAACUAUAACCUACCAUUUCACCUGUAUUGCACAGAAGGGGGAGGUACAGCAGCAGGGGUCCUUGCUCAGGAACACGGUAAUGGGUACAGAGCGGUAGCUUUUUAUUCAAAAUUAUUGCCAACGGUGGUACAGGGUAUGCCAGCAUGCUUAAGAGCUACAGCAGCAUGCGCUAUGAUGGUGGAAGCGGCACAAACAUUGGUACUGUCACAUUCUCUGAUAUUGCAUACAUCACAUCAAGUCUUGCAAGUGUUAAAUAA